CCAGCCUCAGUCCCGAGGCCUUGAGGACUUCGGUUCUAGCAGUGGCAAUACCCCAUUAUGGGGCUACACAGCUACACAGAUCACAGAUGAACUGUGUUAAAGGUUACCAUAACUGAAAUAAGUGUAGCGACACAUGAAUGUCUUCCCUCUGAGAAAUGCGCUGUACCAUUUUAUCAUCUGGUGCAAUAAGAUGCCAUCAUACAGUGAGAUCAUCCUUCUGAUCCUGUCCAGUGGCAGCAUGGACAUCUCCAGCCCUCUGCUAGCUGAUUUUUAGGGAUGGACCUCUGCUUUAAGGGGCUAAAAAUAAGUUCGUCUCUUCAAAUGAGAAGGGAGUAAAAGCAUGAACAUUAUGAUCAGUUGGAAUAUUAGUAGUUCUUAUCCAGAAGAGUACAUCAUGGCAAAACUAAUGCAGUACCCCAAGAAGUAAGUGUGAGGAGUGCUAUGCUUUUCUAACUUAUACUGGAGAGAGUAAACUUCUUCUAGAUUGUCUUUCAGAACAGCAGACAGUUCCAGUCCCAGUAUUUUGAGAUAAGUUCCUUUCUGAAAUUCUCUUAGAAUUGGUAACCAUAGUUGAAAUUAUUUUUUUCCAAAUCUAUUUCUGAAAGGCAGUUUCUUCUAAGUUACACUGAGCUGACUGUGUUUUAUAUUAGUGAAAGUUCUUUUAUUCUUCCUGAUUCUUGAAGAAUAUUGUUCUAAGACAGAAAGAAACAGCAUACAGAUCAAAUAGAGUCAGUUAACUUUCUUGUGUGGACUAGUAUAAGGAACAUCUGUUCCUCCUGGUAGUCUACAUGAUGAUGGGUUUUGAGGGUUUUGAUGUUCCAUACCACUACUUCUGUUUCAUAAUGAGAUAUUUCUGCAUAUUUCUACAGAGUAGGAGAAAUGUAAGUAAAGUUAAAAAAGAAAAAAAAAAAAAAAUUAACACCACAACCCAAAAAAUGUAUUGACAUGGAAACAUUUUUGACACAAAUUCCUGAAGCUAUCAGUAUCUGGAAAUGUUUUCAAUGAAUAUUCAGACAUCAUUGGAGGGUUCUCAGAAAUAAGUCUAAUACCAUUCUAAGCCUAUCUGCUUGUUUAUAAUUCCAGUGUUCGCAUUUUCUGAAAGCUUACUGUUACCUACGCUUUACUUACACUGUUACCUACAUUUUGAAAACUCUGUUUUCUUCAAGCAUCAAGCCAGAUCUCCUCUCAGUAAUUUUGAAACACAAACUGCUAUUCUUGUCCUUUGAGGAGUUUGACUAAAAACUAGAUGUUUCAUGUAAUUAUUUCUGCCUAGUGUCUUAUUCAGGGAAAAAGGAAUAUCAUGUCCUGAGAAAUGAACUACAAAGUGCAUUUUAUGAUAAUGCUUUUAAUUUAGUGUUUCUGUAAAAUUUAUUUCUAACAUUCCAAUAGACUUUUUUCCUUAGAAACUGAAAGUAGCUCAAUUAGAUGUCCAUAGUAUCUCUGAAGAACACUGUCCCAUUUUCUACUGAAUACAUGUUAUGUAAAGCAGUGCUUUAAAUAAUUUCUAAAAUUUUACAUUAUUUCUAAAGAAAAAAAAAAAAAGAAAAAACAUUAGCUGAAUUAGAUCAUAAUUUGUCAUGCGUUGUUGGGAAUUAGUCAUAUGUUUUGUUAUUCUGUUCCAUGGAAAUCUUCAUGCCAAAAGCUUUUCUAAUAAUGAGUGUACUGUAACAUCCUGGUUCUUUUAUUCCAAAUCACACACUUACAUUGCUCUGUCCUGUCACCUCUACAGAAUCUUUCAAUUUUAUAGAAAUUUCUAAAACCAGAAUAACUGUGACCAAAAGGCUUAAUCUUACUUGUAUUUAUAUCAAUAUUGUGAAGAAUCAAAAUGUUGAUCCUUCCGUUCUACUCAGUAGUUCAUCUGCCAAGACAAAUGAUCCACUUAGUUCAUGGAUUAAGCAAUAAUUUAAAUCUUCUUAUUAAUAAUCUGAAUGUAAUUGAUAGCAGUAAUUGUAUAGCAUGAAGUAGUGAAUUAUUGAAUAUAAAAUUUUAAAGAAACUAUAGAUUUUACUGAUGCAAUAACAGCAGUAUCUAUUUUUCCUUGUAAAAUAAAGAACUAUUCUCACUUUUUAUGUGAGAAAUACAAAAUCUUUGAAAA